CAAUAGCGUAUAUUAAAGUUGUUGCAGUUAAAAAGCUCGUAGUUGGAUUUCUGGUGGGAGCGAUCGGUCUGGCGCUUAGCGCGAGUACUUGCAUCGUCUCCGGCCAUCCUUGGGGAAAGUCUGUCUGGCAUUAAGUUGUCAGGCAGAGGAUCCUCAUCGUUUACUGUGAAAAAAUUAGAGUGUUCAAAGCAGGCUUAUGCCGUUGAAUAUAUUAGCAUGGAAUAAUAAGAUAGGACUUUGGUACUAUUUUGUUGGUUUGCGCACCAAAGUAAUGAUUAAUAGGGACAGUUGGGGGUAUUCGUAUUCCGUUGUCAGAGGUGAAAUUCUUGGAUUUACGGAAGACGAACUACUGCGAAAGCAUUUACCAAGGAUGUUUUCAUUAA
rnacentral:rRNA from 1 species